GACGAACGCUGGCGGCGUGCUUAACACAUGCAAGUCGAACGGAAAGGCCCUGAUUUCGUGGGGUGCUCGAGUGGCGAACGGGUGAGUAACACGAGAGUAACCUGCCCUAGAUUUUGGGGUAACUUCAGGUAAGUGGGCCUAAUACCGGACAGCAGCUCCUCCACGAUGGUGGGGGUUGGAAAGUUUCUGCGGUUGGGGAUGGACUGGCGGGUAAUCGGCUAGCUGGUGGGGUAGUGGCUUACCAAGUGUUUGACGGAUCGGCGGCCUGUGAGGGGGGACGGCCACAAUGGGGCUGAGGUACGGCCCAGAGUCCUACGUGAGACAGCAGUGGGGAAUAUUGCACAGUGGGCGGAAGCCUGAUGCAGCAGCGCCGCGUGCGGGAUGACGGCCUGCGGGUUGUAAACCGCUUUCGCCUAUGACGAAGCGGGAGUGACGGUAAUGGGUAAAGAAGCACCGGCUAACUACGUG
rnacentral:rRNA from 1 species